UGGCCCAUCGGGGCCUCGGAUACCUGCUUUUAUUAUU
rfam:Lemur catta clone LBgap101 XIST gene, partial sequence, complete sequence.